AUACGUAGGGGGCGAGCGUUGUCCGGAAUUACUGGGCGUAAAGGGUGCGUAGGUGGCACUUUAAGUUGGAUGUGAAAUCCCCGUGCUUAACAUGGGAGCUGCAUCCAAUACUGGAGAGCUCGAGUGCAGGAGAGGUAAGCGGAAUUCCUAGUGUAGCGGUGAACUGCGUAGAUAUUAGGAGGAACACCAGUGGCGAAGGCGGCUUACUGGACUGUAACUGACACUGAGGCACGAAAGCGUGGGGAGCAAACAGGAUUAGAUACUCUGGUAGUCCACGCUGUAAACGAUGAAUACUAGGUGUAGGGGGUAUCAACUCCCUCUGUGCCGCAGCAAACGCAAUAAGUAUUCCGCCUGGGGAGUACGGCCGCAAGGUUGAAACUCAAAGGAAUUGACGGGG
rnacentral:rRNA from 1 species